CACACACACACACACUAUUUCUGCCUUUCUUGUUCCCUGUAACAGGAAGUAAAUUUUUUAACCCUUCACUGUUUCCUCAGUCUAAAAAUGCCAACACAGACACGAACAUUCUAAGCCAGACACAAAGAUAUUGAGGACACAGGAAGGAAACGUCACAUCAUCCUAUGCAGCUGGUUGUUUUAUGGCACUUGUGCAGCUCCUGUAGUUCCUGACCAGAUAUGCACCAUACACACACACCAGGUCUGGCAUGGCAGAAGCAUAACGGCAUGACUUUAUGAGUGUAGCGCAGCUCAGUUCGUGGGCAUUCUUGCUGUAAUGAAAGCAUUUUGUAAUUCUGCAGCCCCAUUUCUCCACAGUUGAGUUACAAUUGUAAAGCAUCACAUACAGUAUGACAGGCGACUACAUGGGUCUGUAAUACACUGGAAAUAAACAAUCUGUACAUUCACAGGGGAAACGUUUGAAUUUAAAUUUGAGAUUUUUUUUUAAAGAAACAGGUUUAACUACUAGUCACCGUUAAAUUUGUGGCUUGUCAAAACAACUAUGUUUAGGUUGCUGUCCUAACCGUCUCCGUCUGAGCUCAUUUAGCAUGUCGUGUUCACUUUAUCACAUUUCAUGCAGAUAAUAAAUCGUUUAGUUGUUCAUUUGUCCCUUGUGGCCAGAUGCUCCAUUUUAAGGGACCAAAAAAUAUUGGAGAUUGAUAGUGUAUUAUUAUUAUUAUUAUUACUAUUGUUAUUAUUAUUAUUAUCAUUAUGGCUUUGCUUAUUCCUUUGGUGUCAGUUAGACAAACCAGAGUAUCAGCUAAUUAUGUCUUUUUCCAAAUCAUUGUGCUUCAGACAUCUUCAGUUCCAUCAGUGAAUAUGAGUUUAUAAGACUUAUAUAUACUUUAUAAAUAAUUCAACGAAAGCCUUUUCCUUAUGAAGAUGAGAAAUGUCGAGGAAAAACACAAACAAGUCGCAGUCUAUCGAAAAGCCGGCAGUUCGCUUGCUCACUGAGAAUUUGAAUGGAAGAGGAGAGAAACCUUAGCAGUGUAAUCCGAUACGUAAUGCGCACAUCCACCAUGACACGCCCUCGACGCUUCCUCCGAGUUCUGAUUCCUUGUGCUUCUAUCUCUGUUUUUUGUUUAGUUUUCUCCGCCUCCUUAAUAUUUAUUGACUUACUUUUUUGCCUUCCCUGCCUGUUUAUAUUUGAUUAAUGCUUAUGUACAUAUUUCCAGUUUGUGUUUAGUUUCAGUGUUUUCUACUUGGUUUCUUCAUCUUGCAUGUUUUUUUUGGUUUUCUCAAGUUUAUUCGGCAUAAAACCCCGUGUAUCAUUUAUUAAAUGUCAAAUAGUAUUCCCUGCUGAAAAAACAACAUAAACCGUCAUAGUAAUUCCAAUGGUUUCCACUAGAAAUACCACAAGGCCAUUACCAUUACCAUUAUUGGUCCUUAAUGGAAUCCACUAGAUAUUUAAAUUUCAUGCAACCAAUAGAAGACAACAAAUUACCAGUAGAGACCCAUUACAAGGACCAUUACAGUUUCCAUUAAAACCAGUACAAUUCCCAUUAUAACCAUUAAAACCAUUACUGGUCCUUAAUGGUUUCCACUAGACAUAACAUGCCACCAAUAGAAGUCAACAAAUUACCAGUAGAGACCCAUUACAGGGACCAUUACAGUUUCCAUUAAAACCAGUACAAUUCCCAUUAUAACCAUUACUGGUCCUUAAUGGUUUCCACUAGACAUAACAUACCACCAAUAGAAGGCAACAAUUUAUCAGUAGAGACCCAUUACAGGGACCAUUACAUUUCCAUUAAAACCAGUACAAUUCCCAUUAUAACCAUUACUGGUCCUUAAUGGUUUCCACUAGACAUAACAUACCACCAAUAGAAGGCAACAAUUUAUCAGUAGAGACCCAUUACAGGGACCAUUACAAUUUCCAUUAAAAAGUACAAUUCCCAUUAUAACCAUUAAAACCAUUACUGGUCCUUAAUGGUUUCCACUAGACAUAACAUACCACCAAUAGAAGGCAACAGAUUACCAGUAGAGACCCAUUACAGGGACCAUUACAGUUUCCAUUAAAACCAGUACAAUGCCCAUUAUAACCAUUAAAACCAUUACCAGUCCUUAAUGGUUUCCACUAGACAUAACAUACCACCAAUAGAAGGCAACAAAUUACCAGUAGAGACCCAUUACAGGGACCACUACAGUUUCCAUUGAAACCAGUACAAUUCCAAUUAUAACCAUUAAAACCAUUACUGGUCCUUAAUGGUUUCCAAUAGACAUAACAUACCACCAAUAGAAGGCAACAAAUUACCAGUAGAGACCCAUUACAGGGACCAUUACAGUUUCCAUUAAAACCAGUACAAUUCCUAUUAUAAAACAAUUCAUAUUUUAACCAUUAAAAUCAUUACAAAUUCUAUGAGGAUUUCUAAUGGAGUUUUUUUUCCAGCAGGGUUCUCUAUGUUUUUUUCUUCCAUAUCACGUUUAAAAAAUAAACAGCUAUAAUUAUCAGUUCACAAGUUUAUUUCACUUUGUGUUACAUUUGUUUUCCGACUCCUGAUUUACAAUCUAUUAUUCGAAGCCGAUAGUGCUGGAACCCUUUGUGCUUUUGAACAUAUACUGCUUAUUUAUGGGUAAUGCAGUAAAGCAGAUUCAUGCAUUUUCUCUUCUCAAAUCUGUUGUAAUUCUGUAAGAUUUCAAAAUAAUAGUGAUGAAAGGACAGUUAAGACGGUAAUUGUCUGUUUUGUUCCUGAAAGUAUUUACCGUAAUAUAACAUUGUGUGCGGUUUUAUUACAAUAAUAAUUGAUAGAAUGACAACUUGAAUAAUCCGUUUUCCUCAAAGGUAAAGGUUACCGUAAUAUUUAGCAGACUAUCUGUGUCAAUUUACCAGCUGCUAACUUACUGUUAGUUAGUACGUUCGCCUCACACCUCCAGGGUUGGGGGUUCGAUUCCCAGCGUUGUGUUUCCUCUGGGUACUCCGGUUUCCUCCCCCUGAUUGGCAUGUCCAAAGUGUCUGUAGUGUGUGAACGUGUAUGUGAUUGUGCCCUGCGAUGGAUUGGCAUCCUGUCCAGGGUGUACCCUGCCUUGUGCCUCCUGCUCCCUGGGAUAGGCUCCAGGUUCCUUGUGACCCAGUAGGAUACGCAGUAUAGAAGAUGGAUGGAUGGAUUGGUCAGAAGCUGUGGAUUAAUGCUAUAUAAAUGCACGGUUUGGACAUGAACAUGAACAAUAGAUUUAUAUUAAUACACUCUUUCUAAUAUAGUAUAUGUUAACUAAUAUGUUUCUAUAGUGACAGCUCGUGCACAGGGAUUUUGAUGGGUGGAUUCUCUACAUAAUCUUAUUGUACAUUUUUUGUGUGUGAUUUUUGUGUGAUUAAAAUGCUUGAUUUUGCUGUGGCUUUUCUUCCUAAAUUUUUUAUGCAGUUUGUGGAGUUUUUUGUGUUUUUUAUUUUCCAGAAAUCUACUUGAAUUGGCAAAAUUGUUGUAACUAUAAACCAUUUAAACCAAGUACUAUAUUCAUUCAUUAAUAAAUCAAAAAUUGUAAUCGAAGGCAAUAUCGAUUUGGUGCUGUUACACGCUCAGGCCAUAUCAUACCACCUCAGUGUGUAUUAUUAUUCGUAUGACGGCACGGUCCCAUCGUGUUUUAUUCCUUACUAGAUUCUUUUCCUGAGAAUGUAAUUGCUGUAAUAUUAAAUGGUUUACUUACACUUUCUUUCCACAUGACAAAUUAAUAUCCUCCUUUCUGACCACUUUUUACAGGAAUUGUUUUUUAAACAGUGCAAUACAUUUCUGAAUAUCCUGUCAUGUCUUAAUGGCAAGCUACAGCCCAAGCUGCAGUGGAGCGGCUUUACAGCGAAUGUGCAAUGCUGCAGCAUGCAGGCGGACAUAAUGAUGCAAUGCUUGGUGCGUGGAAGUGCACCUUUACCUAUUUUAGCUGCGCAAGAGGAAAAUGCCGCAUACCACUGCAGGAAAACCUUAGGGAACAUGGGAUCAGUCUUCCGCAGGUGGCUUUCUAAUCACCUGUUGCUGCACCUUGACACUUAGGAGAGAAAUAUAACACAGCCCGUGAAUCCUGUCUACUGUAUAUGAAUGUCAUCGGUUUAUGUGUGAUGCCUGUAUAUACAAAAUGAAUUUUGGGAAACAGAAGCCCAUGAGCCUUACGUGAUACACCCGCAAUCACUAUUAAAGGCUUUAGGUAAUGUAAGGAAGAUGAUGAUGGGUUAAUCCUGAACUAGAAUUUAUAAGCUAGGCUUGGUAACAGAUCUGUAAGAAUGUACUAAGACACUAUAAGCUACUUUUGUCAUUUCCUCAAUGCCUGUACUGUGCUAAUGAUACUUCCUGUGGAAUUCUGAGAUGCUAUGAGGGUGGUGAGGAUGAUGAGGGAAAUAGAAAAAUAGAAAACCACUGAAGUAACAUUAAGAAAAGGUCUAUAGGAUCACAUACAUUUAAAGUCAAAGAUAUAAUGAAGGUACAUGCAAAAAAAACCCAAACAAACAAAAAAACAGAUCAUAAACUAGUACUAAUUAACUAAUUAUCCCAAGGAUACUACAUAGUGUAAAAUAAUGAAAUGUUCAACCUGGAUUUAUAACAUUAACACACUCCUCUAUAACAGUUCUUCAGCUUAUAUGUUAUUUAGUAGCUACAGCAAGCAUACAGUACAAGCGCUGAUGUGUUUGUGUGUCUCGAAUGCUACAGUAAAACAGUAGCACAGGCCUGUAUGAGGAUUUCAGAGUGGCAAGGCUGGUAAAUAAUAGCUGUCUCAGAAAACAGAAGCGCAUUGUGCUCUAACAGGCUAUGCUACAGUCAUUUAAUGAUGAACGCUUUAACAUGUCUCAAAGGAAGCUGCAAUACGGAUGCAAUGUAUAAAAUUGUAGGCUUACCUUGUUAUCGAAUUAUCCCGGAGAAAGGACAUCUGUUACUUGUGUGUGUGUGUGUGUGUGUGUGUGUGUGUGUGUGUGUCCAUUCCACCUCCCUGCUGUUGUGUAACUGGGACAUUAUCAGGAGUCAGGUGUCACUUUGUGACCUGAAGAGUGUUUGUGAGUGUGUGAGUGUUGGUCAACUCACACGUGCAUCUCUUACUACACUUUAUAUGGAGCACAUAUACAGUACGCACUUUUUUAAAAUUUAAUUUACAAAUAUAUGCACGUUUUUAAGGAAUGGGAUACGUUAUAGUUUUGAUCAACAAUAAUGUUAUUUUGACUAAGAACCCUUAAAAAGAAUGAGAAAUGUAAUAAUAAUAAGAAGGAGAAGAAGAAGAAGAGGAAGAAGACUGUACAGUCCCUCCAGGAUUUUGUGACAUGAACACAAAAUGAAGGAAACUGCAAUAUUCGGAGGAGCGUGCAAUUUUCAAAAUUACUGCAGAUUUUCUGCAGGUUUGGGCCCAAACGCGUCAUAUGACGUUGUUACGACGCGCAUUCAGUAAAAGCGCUCUGCGAUUCACGUGCGUUGAACACGAGUACAGCUAAAAGGUCUCAUUUUCCGACGAACAUCACUGCGAAACAAUUUCGUGCGACUGCAAUUCCGCCAAUUCAAGUAGUUUUCCGCAAAAAAAAAACGCCACAAUUUUGAAAAAACCCACAGCAAAAUCUAGCAUUUUUGUCCUCAACAAUCAGGGAAAAAAAAAAAAAAAUUGCGAAAUCCUAUAUGGACUGAUGUAAACGUGUAAAAAUACUUCAGCGAGUAUACUACAUAUGUUUGAGUGUACUCCUCUAGAGUAAAAAUGGAUAUGCAUGUUUGUUUGUUUUUAGUGUGAGUGUGUUAUGUGUGAACAAGUGUGUUUGUGUGUUAGGAUGAAAGCGUGAGAAAAUAUGAAAAGGAAAUAUGUUCAGUAUGUGCAGUAUGUGUACAUACAUAUUCAUGAGCAUGAUAGAACAGUGAAGAAAGCAACAGAAUAGAAACGGGGAGAGAGAGAGAGAGAGAGAGAGAGAGGAGAGAGAGAGAGAGAGAGAGAGGGUGAUACUGAGGUGGUAUGGUUUGGUUUCUACAGCCAUCUCUGUUUCUGCUAACAGAAUGGCACUCUGUUCCUCAGCCAGCUUAGCAAAGCAGGAGGAACAGAUGGGCAUUGAUCAUUUUAAACUGCCUGACUCACACAAAGAGCAGAAUUGUUGAAAAACUGUAAAUAUGUGUGUGUGCGUGCGUGUGUGUGUGUGUCGGGGGACUAUAUUCAUCUCUUUAUGGGGGCCAAAUGUCCUCAUGAAGAUAGAAAUACAGGAUAAUUUUAACCUUGUCGGAACAGUUAUCUGGUCUUCAUGGGAAGAAUAACAUGUUUACCCCCACACAAAGUUUUAUUUUAAUAAACAAACAAAUAAAUAAAUAAUCAGUUACUGAGGUUACAGGUGCUGUCAAGUUUAGAUUUAGGUUUAGGUGUAGCAUUAUCAUAACUAGCUAGCCCUUCAGUUCACUUCAGUAUUCAAUAUACUGUAUUACUGUACACUUCAGUAUUCAUUAGCUAGCCCAUAGAUUUAAAAGACAGAAAGAGCAAGCUAGUCACUGAACUGUAACUAAAUAGGAAUCAUCUGCACUUGUUAAGUGCCUGAUAGCCCAAUAGCUCUCAAAAAUCACUGACAUGUACCACACUAUAAUCGCUAAAAAGAGCUCUUCAGUAGCUUUUGAAUGGCACCAGCCACACCCCUUCAUGAUCUAAGGUGCCUGAGAAAGAGGCCAUGAUCAUUAGCGUUUUAGCCGACUUUGGAGCUCCACUUCCAGCUAAAAUGACACCUCAGGCACUGCCACGGAGCUCAUUAUGUUUCAAUCGAUCAUUCUCAAAUUCCCCAGGUCAUAGACUUCAUUUAUUCAACUGAACUAUAUUUUGGAGAACCGGACAGCAGGAGACUGUUCGCUGUGUCCAACCUCAGUGCACUCUCAUGUGCUUGCCCUCUCGUCUCACCCUCGUUGUAAACAAAUGUCCGUGGACCAGUAAUCAGCAGUAGCUCGCACUACUAGUCAGUCCGUACAGGAUUGCCAAAAAUGCUUCAUUUUGCUGCA
ensembl:lncRNA